rnacentral:rRNA from 1 species
CCUACGGGGGGCAGCAGUGGGGAAUAUUGCACAAUGGGCGCAAGCCUGAUGCAGCCAUGCCGCGUGUAUGAAGAAGGCCUUCGGGUUGUAAAGUACUUUCAGUCGGGAGGAAGGUGGUGAGCUUAAUACGCUCAUCAAUUGACGUUACCGACAGAAGAAGCACCGGCUAACUCCGUGCCAGCAGCCGCGGUAAUACGGAGGGUGCAAGCGUUAAUCGGAAUUACUGGGCGUAAAGCGCACGCAGGCGGUUGAUUGAGUCAGAUGUGAAAUCCCCGGGCUUAACCCGGGAAUUGCAUCUGAUACUGGUCAGCUAGAGUCUUGUAGAGGGGGGUAGAAUUCCAUGUGUAGCGGUGAAAUGCGUAGAGAUGUGGAGGAAUACCGGUGGCGAAGGCGGCCCCCUGGACAAAGACUGACGCUCAGGUGCGAAAGCGUGGGGA